rnacentral:rRNA from 1 species
CCUACGGGAGGCAGCAGUGAGGAAUAUUGGUCAAUGGCCGUAAGGCUGAACCAGCCAAGUCGCGUGAAGGAUGACGGCCCUACGGUUUGUAAACUUCUUUUAUAGGGGAAUAAAGUUAUCCACGUGUGCCUCUUUGCAUGUACCCUAUGAAUAAGCAUCGGCUAACUCCGUGCCAGCAGCCGCGGUAAUACGGAGGAUGCGAGCGUUAUCCGGAUUUAUUGGGUUUAAAGGGUGCGUAGGUGGGUUUUUAAGUCAGCGGUGAAAGUUUGGGGCUCAACCUUAAAAUUGCCGUUGAAACUGGGAGUCUGGAGUGUGUUUGAGGUAGGCGGAAUGCGUGGUGUAGCGGUGAAAUGCAUAGAUAUCACGCAGAACUCCGAUUGCGAAGGCAGCUUACUAAGCCAUAACUGACACUGAUGCACGAAAGCGUGGGGAUCAAACAGGAUUAGAUACCCGGGUAGUC